rnacentral:rRNA from 1 species
AUUGAACGCUGGCGGCAGGCUUAACACAUGCAAGUCGAGCGGAGCGAGGGUGCUUGCACCUUAGCUUAGCGGCGGACGGGUGAGUAAUGCUUAGGAAUCUGCCUAUUAGUGGGGGACAACAUUCCGAAAGGAAUGCUAAUACCGCAUACGCCCUACGGGGGAAAGCAGGGGAUCUUCGGACCUUGCGCUAAUAGAUGAGCCUAAGUCGGAUUAGCUAGUUGGUGGGGUAAAGGCCUACCAAGGCGACGAUCUGUAGCGGGUCUGAGAGGAUGAUCCGCCACACUGGGACGGGGACACGGCCCAGACUCCUACGGGAGGCAGCAGUGGGGAAUAUUGGACAAUGGGUGGAAGCCUGAUCCAGCCAUGCCGCGUGUGUGAAGAAGGCCUUUUGGUUGUAAAGCACUUUAAGCGAGGAGGAGGCUACUUAGAUUAAUACUCUGGGAUAGUGGACGUUACUCGCAGAAUAAGCACCGGCUAACUCUGUGCCAGCCGCCGCCGUAA